GGUUCAUUCAAAUUUCUGCCCUAUCAACUUUCGAAGGCUGGGUCUUGGCAGCCAUGGUGACAACGGGUAACGGAGGGUUAGGGCUCGACCCCGGAGAGAGCCUGAGAAACGGUACUACAUCCAAGGAAGGCAGCAGGCGCGCAAAUUACCCAAUCCCGACCGGGGAGGUAGUGACAAUAAAUACUGAUACAGGGCUCUUUUGGGUCUUGUAAUUGGAAUGAGUACAAUUUAAAUCCCUUAACGAGGAACAAUUGGAGGGCAAGUCUGGUGCCAGCAGCCGGGUAAAUUCCAGCUCAAAUAGCGUAUAUUAAAGUUGUUGCAGUUAAAAAGCUCGUAGUUG
rnacentral:rRNA from 1 species